UGUCCUUGUGUUUUCUUCAUUUAGCUCCUGCUUUUAAGUGAAAACGUGGUAUUUGGUUUUCUGUUUCUGCAUUAGUUUGCUAGGGAUAAUGGCCUC